GAUGAACGCUGGCGGCGUGCUUAACACAUGCAAGUCGAACGGAAAGGCCCAAGCUUGCUUGGGUACUCGAGUGGCGAACGGGUGAGUAACACGUGGGUGAUCUGCCCUUCACUUCGUGAUAAGCCUGGGAAACUGGGUCUAAUACCGGAUAGGACGAUUUUUUUGAUUCCAUUGUUGAAAGUUUUUUCGGUGUGGGAUAAGCUCGCGGCCUAUCAGCUUUUUGGUGGGGUAAUGGCCUACCAAGGCGUCUACGGGUAGCCGGCCUGAGAGGGUGUACGGCCAAAUUGGGAAUGAGAGACGGGCCAGAGUCCGAAGGGAGGCAGCAGUGGGGAAUAUUGGACAAUGGGCGAAAGACUGAUGCAGAGAGGACGCGUGGGGGAUGACGGCCUUCGGGUUGUAAACACAUAUCGCUAGGGACGAAGCGUUUUUGUGACGGUACCUGGAGAAGAAGCACCGGCUAACUACGUG
rnacentral:rRNA from 1 species